rnacentral:rRNA from 1 species
UCGGGAAUUUUGGGCAAUGGGCGAAAGCCUGACCCAGCAACGCCGCGUGAAGGAUGAAGUCUCUCGGGAUGUAAACUUCGUAAGAAUAGGAAGAAUAAAUGACGGUACUAUUUAUAAGGUCCGGCUAACUACGUGCCAGCAGCCGCGGUAAUACGUAGGGACCAAGCGUUGUUCGGAUUUACUGGGCGUAAAGGGCGCGUAGGCGGCAAUUCAAGUCAUCUGUGAAAUCUCCGGGCUUAACUCGGAACGGUCAGAUGAUACUGCUUUGCUAGAGUGCAGAAGGGGCAAUCGGAAUUCUUGGUGUAGCGGUGAAAUGCGUAGAUAUCAAGAGGAACACCUGAGGUGAAGACGGGUUGCUGGGCUGACACUGACGCUGAGGCGCGAAAGCCAGGGGAGCAAACGGGAUUAGAUACCCACGUAGUCCCUGAGCGGGCUGGCAAGGCGCAU